rnacentral:lncRNA from 1 species
AAAUAUGGACAAAGUAGAACAUAUGAAUAGUACACAAGUCAAAAAUAUAUAAUUUAUCCUAAGAGGCGGCCUUAGUUUUUCGCUUUAUGUUUGAGCCUCUAUGGUAGAAUCCGUUGGGGCCUAAGAGGCGGUGAUUUACCCUGUGGUGGAUGUCAGCGGUUCGAGUCCGCUUAUCUCCAACUCGUGAAUUUGAAUGAUAUAUAGGUUAGAUACAUUAAUUUUUUAAUGAAUGUAAAAAACAAUUUUUGCUUAUUUAUAAAUAAGACCGGAGAGAGUAAUGUUAGUUUAAUUUCAUCAUCAUUCUUAUCAUCACAAUUUAUAUUUUUUCUUUUUUUUCUUUUCUUUUUUAUUUAUUAUUAUUAAUUACUGUAUUAAAUUAAAUAAAAUUCUUUCGUCAAACUCGUACGGACGGAUAUUCCGGUGAAUCGAAACCUCGUUGGUUUCUGUCACACACCUGACAACACCUUCGGAUCUCACAUCACACCAGACAAACACAUACACCUCGUUACUUUCUCUUCUAAAUUGUUACCUUCUGUUACCAUUUUUUUCAAGCAAUUUCGUUUCGUGAUCCCAAUUUUUUGCACGCCAAUUUGAUGCCAUGAAGAAGAAGCUCGAUACCCGUUUUCCUGCUGUAAGUUUUUUCUGCUUUUUAGCGUUAAAGUUUGUAUCUUUUCAUAGUUUCGUUGUGUUUUUGCAUCUGGGCAUUUUUUGUUUUUUGAUUUAAUUGAGUUUUGGUUGUUGUGGGUGUGAAAUUGGGUAGAAUGACAUGAUGGGUGUGACUGGAAUUUAGUAUAAUUCAUAAAAUUGAUUUUUUGUGUUUGAUGAUAGUUGAGUAGAUUCGCUGAUAUUGCUCAAAUCUGUCAAAAUACACGAACGGAAGCACCGGGUAGUGUAUUUUCAGAUAAUAUAUAUACUACCGGAAAUGUGCUUCUGGUAACAUCAGGGGG